AUUGCAACGAUUCAUUACAAGGGGUAGAGGCUACCCAACGACAGCCUGGACAUCCUUGCAUUCAGGGCUCAGUGUCAGAGUUUCCUAAACCAAACACGUGCAUGUGCCCGGAACAGUGGAGAGGACUCAAUACGUGCCCUAUAUGAUACACCUCUGUUCCAACUGUUCCAACUCUCCAGCUCAAAGCUUCCUCCCAGACACGUCCGUUUUGGCCUUCCCAGGGCCAGGGGAUACAACGCUGGGCAGCGGCUCAGCAGGCUGCCUGGGCGAUGAUUUGGCAGUGCCCCAGCCAGGUCAGAUGGGCUGAAGGACGGAGAAGGUCCCGGUAGCACUUGGCAUCAGGGACUUAAGGAGCAGGAGGGCAGAGCUCAGGCCAGGAAGAGGCAGAGGGCCAGGGUGGCAAGCACAUGUGGUAAUGAGAUGGUGUGCAGAACACCUAGCAAGAUGCCAGGCAUGCCGUAGGCACAUAAUAAUGACGCUCUCCCUCAUUCCCCCCUACGCAUGGACUAUGCUGCUGAUAACCUAGAGUCUGCAAGAGAAGGACAAUUCUUUCAGGACCCUGGAGAGCUCCCGGGGGCCCCAGGUCAGUUCUGAUUCCGUGUAAGGAACACAGAAAACCGGGGCUCACCAAGGGCUUCCGGAAUGGGAGUCUCACGUUGCCCGGUUACGGCAAAUACUAUCACCAUCGCAGGCUGCAGGAAGACACUCAGGAAGAUGAUGUGACUGUCCACUGAGUGGCUGUGCUGAGCCGAGGGCUGGGAGCACACACGGCUUCGGUUAGAGCCUUACCUCCUGAGGAAGCCCUGCAGCACAGAGGGGAAGUCAUUUGUUUCAAAUUAGAGGAAAUACUGCCAUGUUUUUUAUCGCGCUUCUCUCAAAUUAAGUGCACGUAUUUAUGAUUUUACCACCAUCCUUGGCCCUUUGCUUCAGUUUCUUUAUUAAAAGAAACUCUUCCCUGGCUGUCUUCUUAGCUUGCCCGGAAACUAUCAUCACAGAGACAGAGGUACUUGGGCGAUGUUUCUCUGAAGCCUUUUGCCCUCACUCAGUUUCUCACGCAGGAUUUGUACUUAGUCGACCCUGCCCUAAACAGAGCCACGUACACAGUGAGCUGGUCAUUAGCACAGGGUGUUACUGCGCGGAGAACAUUCCCACACACUUGAGCACAUCCAUUAACAAGGAGAACACGGUGAGCGAGACAAGAGUGAUGAAAACAGCGUGGCCAGCAGUGAAGCAGAAAGUCCACUCUCAGCAGAGGAGAGAGUUGAUUUUGCAUUUUGAUUGGCGAAAUUCACGGAGGGGAAAAAUCCUUUCCAAUAGGAUUCUGGACCAGCCCAGACCUUUCAUAUUCAAAAUUCAACAGGAUAUUUGGUUCUAUAAACAGAACUUUCUUUGACAAAGAAAACCCACUCGGGGUGUCAGCAAGGUGGCGUGGAAGGUACAAGUGACAGACGUGGUUCGCGCCCCCCCCCCCCCAGCUCUGACAUGGACAGGAUCCUACAAGGAGACUGAGCAAGCAGCAAAGAGAAAAGUCAUGUCCUUCAUUUGGGAACCAGACCACAGCUCGGAUGAGGCUUGUAACCGUGCUUUAGCAAAGGGCUCUUGGCUCCUCUUUGCAGACCAGAUGCUUCAGGGACAGUCGACGAUUCUGUGCGGCCAAGGAGGCUGGUGGUCAGAGCACGGAUUCAGCAGUAAGACAGCCCAGAUUCGAGUCCCGGUGUCUCCACGGACGGCUGUGGAACCUCGAGCACGUGACCUACCCUCCCCGUGCCCCGGUGCCCUCCUCCAGGCACAGAGACGCCCGCUGUUCCCUCACUGGCUGCGACGGGCACUGAGCUGGGAUGGGCGUCCGGGGUCCAGGAAGCCCGUGGGGUGACUGUUACUGCUACUGAGGUCAGCCCUCUUGUGUUCUAAUUCUGCUACACCUUCUGUACCUGGUGCAGAAGUCCUAAGACCUUUGUGAGUGCGCCUCCGCCUGGCUUGUUGUGACAGUCACAUGGGGAAGGUCUUCACGAGAAAGUGACACCAUAAUUGGGACUUAGCUGUGGCUUCAGAGGAACCAAGGCCUGAGUUAAGCUCCUGACACAUCUCUCUGUGGCUGCGGUGGGCACUGUCAUCGCCCCCGUAACCAUUCUCUCCUUCUUCAUUAGGAAUUGAACCCUGAUUCUUAGCUGGGCACAUGACCACUCGGAAUAAAUAUGUUUCUCAGACUUCCUUGCAGCCA